rnacentral:rRNA from 1 species
UUUCCGGUUGAUCCUGCCGCCGGCCACCGCUAUCAAGUUCCGACUAAGCCAUGCGAGUCAAGGUAUCGUAAGAUGCCGGCAAACUGCUCAGUAACACGUGGAUAAUCUAACCUUGAGUAAGGGAUAACCUCGGGAAACUGAGGAUAAUACCUUAUAAUUGCUUAAAACUGGAAUGUUUAAGCAAUAAAAGUUCCGACGCUCAAGGAUGAGUCUGCGACCUAUCAGGUAGUAGGUGGUGUAAUGGACCACCUAGCCUCAGACGGGUACGGGCCCUGGGAGGGGUAGCCCGGAGAUGGACUCUGAGACAUCAGUCCAGGCCCUACGGGGCGCAGCAGGCGCGAACACUGUGCAAUGCGCGAAAGCGCGACACGGGGAGCUUGAGUGUCUUGGCAUAGCCAAGACUCUUCUCAUUCCUAAAAAGCAUGAGGAAUAAGUGCUGGGUAAGACGGGUGCCAGCCGCCGCGGUAACACCCGCAGCACAAGUGGUGGUCACUUUUAUUGAGCCUAAAGCGUUCGUAGCCGGUUUUGUAAAUCUUUAGAUAAAGCCUGAAGCUUAACUCCAGAAAGUCUGAAGAGACUGCAAGACUUGAGAUCGGGUGAGGUUAAACGUACUUUCAGGGUAGGGGUAAAAUCCUGUAAUCCCGGAAGGACGACCAGUGGCGAAAGCGUUUAACUAGAACGAAUCUGACGGUAAGGAACGAAGGCUAGGGUAGCAAACCGGAUUAGAUACCCGGGUAGUCCUAGCUGUAAACACUGCCCAUUUGAUGUUGCUUUUCCGUUGAGGGAAGGCAGUGUCGGAGCGAAGGUGUUAAAUGGGCCGCUUGGGAAGUAUGGUCGCAAGACUGAAACUUAAAGGAAUUGGCGGGGGAGCACCGCAACGGGAGGAAUGUGCGGUUUAAUUGGAUUCAACGCCGGA